rnacentral:misc_RNA from 1 species
AAAGUCGUAACAAGGUUUCCGUAGGUGAACCUGCGGAAGGAUCAUUACAGAGUUGAGGUGUCUCUCCGGCGAGGUCCUUCGGGGCACGAGCCGGGGGGGCAUGCUCCUCACCACCCGUGUUUACCGUACCUGUUGCUUCGGCGGGCCCGCCGCCUGUCGGCCGCCGGGGGACGACCGUCCCCGGGCCCGUGCCCGCCGAAGACCCCUCGAACGCUGCCUGAAGGUUGCUGUCUGAGUGAAUGAAAUAAACAAACAAAACUUUCAACAACGGAUCUCUUGGUUCCG